AUGGAAGCUUCGCCGCCUCCGCUCCUCCCCCUGCUCCUCCUCCUCCUCCUGGCCGCGGCGGCGGGCCCGAACGCGGCCGCCGCGGCGGGGGACGGCUGCAGCCGGGGCUGCGACCUCGCGCUGGGCUCCUACUACGUCGCGUCCAACCAGAACGUCACCUACAUCGCCAACCUCUUCGGGUUCUCCGACUACCGAGUGCUCGGCAAGUACAACCCCGGGAUCCCCAACCUCGACUUCGUCGCCGCCGGGGACCGCCUCAACGUCCCCUUCCCCUGCCAUUGCCUCGCGCCGCCGUCCGCCCCGGCCUCCACCUUCCUCGCCGCCUCUAUCCGCUACGACGUCCACACCGGGGACACCUACAUCAGCAUCGCCGACCAAUUCAACAACCUCACCACCCCCGCCUGGCUGCAGGCCACAAACACCUACCCGGCCAACAACAUCCCCGACGUCGGCUCCGUCAACGUCACCGUCAACUGCUCAUGCGGCGACGCCGGAAUCUCCACGCAGUACGGCCUCUUCCUCACAUACCCGCUGAGGGACAGAGAGACGCUCGCCUCCGUCGCCGCCAAUCAUAGCUUCUCGUCGCCGGAGCAGAUGGACCUGCUCAGAAAGUAUAACCCCGGGAUGGACGGUGUCACCGGGAGCGGCAUCGUGUAUAUCCCAGCCAAAGAUCCCAAUGGAAGCUACCUUCCUCUGGAAUCAACAGGGAAAAAAAGUUCAGCAGGAGCAAUAGCAGGAGGUGUUGUGGCUGGUGUAGUUGCACUAGUCCUGGCUGUCGUGUUAUUCUUGUUUUAUAGGCGAAGAAAGGCGAAACAGGACGCUUUGCUUCCAUCUUCUGAAGAAUCUACCCGUCUAGCCAGUGCAGUAUCCAUGCAAAAGGUGACACCAUCGAGCAGUCAAGCUGACGGAGCUUCACCAGCUGCCGGCAUUACAGUUGAUAAAUCAGUCGAGUUCUCAUAUGAAGAACUUUUUAAUGCUACAGAAGGCUUUAACAUAAUUCAUAAAAUUGGACAAGGUGGUUUUGGUGCUGUCUAUUAUGCUGAGCUUAGAGGCGAGAAAGCUGCCAUAAAAAAGAUGGACAUGCAGGCUACUCAAGAGUUCCUUGCCGAGUUAAAAGUUUUGACACAUGUUCAUCAUCUUAAUCUGGUGCGCUUGAUUGGUUAUUGCACGGAGAGUUCUUUGUUCCUUGUCUACGAAUUUAUCGAGAAUGGCAACUUAAGCCAGCAUUUGCGUGGAACUGGUUAUGAGCCUCUUUCUUGGGCUGAAAGAGUUCAGAUUGCACUAGAUUCAGCAAGAGGUCUUGAGUACAUUCAUGAGCAUACCGUUCCAGUGUACAUACAUCGGGACAUCAAAUCCGCAAACAUAUUGAUAGACAAGAACACCCGUGCAAAGGUUGCAGAUUUUGGUCUAACAAAACUUACAGAAGUUGGUGGUGGUACAUCUUUGCAAACACGUGUUGUUGGUACAUUCGGUUACAUGCCUCCAGAAUAUGCCCGAUACGGUGAUGUUUCUCCUAAAGUCGAUGUCUAUGCCUUUGGUGUUGUUUUGUACGAACUUAUUUCAGCCAAAGAUGCCAUUGUCCGAUCAACUGAAUCUGCCAGUGAUUCAAAGGGAUUGGUUUAUCUGUUUGAGGAGGCUCUCAAUGCACCGGAUCCGAAGGAAGGCCUCAAGAGGCUGAUCGAUCCAAAGCUAGGAGACGAUUACCCCAUCGACGCCAUUCUCAAGAUGACGCACCUGGCGAACGCAUGCACACAGGAGGACCCCAAGCUGAGGCCGACAAUGAGAUCCGUGGUGGUGGCGCUGAUGACGCUGUCCUCCACGAGCGAGUUCUGGGAUAUGAACGCCCUCUACGAAAACCCGGGCUUGGUGAACCUCAUGUCCGGCAGAUGA
rnacentral:rRNA from 1 species